GCUGAUUUGGCCGAGUGGUCUAAGGCGAUGGUUUUAAGUUUACUUGAUCACCAUUAUCGAAAGAUGCGUGAGUUCGAACCUCACAGUCAGCA
rnacentral:tRNA from 3 species